ensembl:snoRNA
UGAUGAGAAAAUCUCCGGAAUCUCUGCACUAAUUUUGAUGAUUCCUUUUAACCCUGAAUUUUCUGAUAACUGGAUAUUUUCUUU